rnacentral:rRNA from 1 species
AGCAGCCGCGGUAAUUCCAGCUCCAAUAGCGUAUAUUAAAGUUGUUGCAGUUAAAAAGCUCGUAGUUGAAUUUCGGGAUCAAGUCGUCGGUCGUGCUCAAGUACGUACUGGCGUCAUUGAUUUCUCCCUUCUGACGAACCAUGAUGUCAUUAAUUUGGUGUUAUGGGAAAUCAGGACUGUUACUUUGAAAAAAUUAGAGUGUUUAAAGCAGGCUCACGCUUGAAUACAUUAGCAUGGAAUAAUGAAAUAGGACGUUCGAUCCUAUUUUGUUGGUUUUAGGAUCAACGUAAUGAUUAAUAGGGAUAGUUGGGGGCAUUAGUAUUCAAUUGCCAGAGGUUGAAAUUCUUGGAUUUAUUGAAGACUAACUACUGCGAAAGCAUUUGCCAAGGAUGUUUUACAUUAAUCAAGAACGAAAGUUAGGGAUCGAAGACGAUACAGAUACCGUCGUAGUCUUAACCAUAAACUAUAGACCGACUAGGGAUCGGGAUGAUAGUUAAUUUUUAANGUACUCAUUCGCUAC